CCGAACCCGCGCCCAGACCCCGAUGCCGCACCACCGAAACCGCCCAGCUCGGUUCCUUACCGUCGCCGCUCCUUCUUCCCGAGACUCGCCCCCAAUCCCGGCGCCCAGCUCGGAUUCGCGCCCCCAAUCCCGGCACGCAGUCGCCGCUCCCUCAUCCAGAGAGACCCCAAUCCCGGCGCCCAGCUCGGAUCCUGACGGCGCCGCAGCAACCUGCCAUCGGCGCUCCUUCAUCCCCCAGACGCGUCCCCAACCCCGGCGCCGCACCACCCCCAUCCCGGCGCGUCUCGGCCUCCCGUCGGCGACCCUCGCGCCGUCCCGGCGAAGUGCUGAACGGCCGGUUGCCGUCAGCCCCCCUCCCCCGGCGAGCUGCAGCAUCCGUCCCGGCGAGCUGCAGCAUCCGUCCAGCGCAAUUGAUCUAAGGGCGAGAUACUUAUAGUUCAUUCUUUCUAUUACUGGAUUCAUUCUGUCUAUUACGCAUCGUAGGUUCCCGCCGGCGAGGAGGACCUGCCGGCGCAUGUGCCAGUGAGAUGGAGCAGCCGGCACAGGUGCAGACUUAUGAACUGGAGGUCAUCCUGAUGCCAAUUUGAGUAAACCAUGUGUCAAUCUCGCCGUGGUCGAUCUAUUUUAGUUGUUCUUAUUGGGACUACCCAGCAAUGUGAAGGAAGGAGGUACCGCAUCGGGAUUUGACCAUCUUCGUCGUCGAUGAUCCCCCCCCCCCCCCCCCCCCCCCCCUCAUUGUCUUCUUUAAUCAAUUGUUUUUUGUGUUUUUGGGAUCGUCAAGCACUGGCAAGAAUCUUGCUAACACAGCCAGAUCCUUCAGAUAACCCAAUGCAAAGCACUAUUCAUAGCAAACCAUUGUAAGUCUGCGCUGCUGUCCGGCCUUCCUCAGUGCCAAGCAGCUCGCUUAUUAUCUGUACUACCCAUGGUUUUCUACACAUUCGUCCUCACCGAUGGAGUCUCCUGAAUCGCUGCCCUUACAUACUGAACUCUUCAGUGAGUUCCAUCACGGGACUGCUCAACUAGAAGCACGGCAGAUCUGGUUUUUGAUGGAUACAAGAAGUAGCACGGGGAGAGGUAGCUGGAUCUGGUUUUCUCUGGCCGCUAGAAGCCAGACCUGAAUCAUGUCGUCAUCCUCUCCCUCCAAAAUGCCUAGCCAUCCCUCUUCAGUCUACAUCGCUAUCGCUCGCAUCCAUCCUUCUGCCUGUCAUGUUGAAAGAUACUAACAAUACAAAUUCUCCCACAGCACUGAAGAAUCAGGGCACAAGGGAAUACGAGCCAUAGGGUCAAGGAUCUACAGAAUACAGGGUCCUCUUUAUCAGGCAGAUAUGAAUGGGUGCAAUCUGUAUGAUAGAGCACUCUAAGGAACUUCAGAAUCUUGUUAAUGACGCUAUUGACAAAGGUGGCGAAAUUGCUGUCAGAGGGAGUUUUGGCAAUCUUGGUGAAGAUGCAGUUGAUCAAUUUUUCCCUCCAACUAUCCCGGUGAAUGUUAAUCACACAAUGAAAAUUAUGCAAGAAGAGGCAUUUGGACCAAUUCUACCAAUCAUAAAAUUCAGUUCUGACGAAGAGGCUAUUAAACUGGCAAAGGAUUCAAAAUUUGGUUUGAGAACCUUUUCUGGUUUACACCUGUUGCCUGGGCAUUGAAAUGAAAUUGAAAUUCUACUAACUAUGGUUGUGCAAGGAUGUGUCAUGUGCUGCUCUUGGACACCAUCGGUGUUGAGUGUCUGUGUGCGGUUGAUAAAUCUCAGCAGCUUCAUCGGCAUGUACAAAGUGUGGGGAAGAAAAGACCUUGUACUUUUGCUCCCCAAAAAAAAAAAAACUUCCACAAGCUCCUUGUAUACUCAAAUAGUUUGUGCUCAUAAAUAAAAUCAAUAAAAAAAACUUCCACAGCUUCAUCGACA